GGGGAUGUAAAGGUUUCGACGGGGACCGUGAAGCAGGAUAAGCGAGCAGAGGAGCGCACUCUCUUUAAACGGCGUACGUUUUAUAAUUAGACGACAACAAUAAUUAUGCAUUAGCUGCCUAAGUGCAGCUCGUCUGCCCCGAAGUACCGCGAGCGGGUGUCAGGCGUCGACAGCGGUGAACGUCAGAGGAAAUUGUCUGUGGUCCUCUGAUGUAACAGCAGACUACCGAAAUUAAGGGCUUGUUUAUCUGCCCUUAGUCAAGGGAAUUAAAAUAUGAUAAACUACGCUCGUAGAAGGUCGUGUGGAUCGAUUUUCGGACACGGGUUCGAUUCCCGUCAUCUCCACCA
rnacentral:tmRNA from 1 species